GUAGGGUGCGAGCGUUGUCCGGAAUUAUUGGGCGUAAAGGGCUCGUAGGCGGUUUGUCGCGUCGGGAGUGAAAACGCCGUGCUUAACACGGCGCUUGCUUCCGAUACGGGCAGACUAGAGGUAUUCAGGGGAGAACGGAAUUCCUGGUGUAGCGGUGAAAUGCGCAGAUAUCAGGAGGAACACCGGUGGCGAAGGCGGUUCUCUGGGAAUGACCUGACGCUGAGGAGCGAAAGUGUGGGGAGCGAACAGGAUUAGAUACCCUGGUAGUCCACACCGUAAACGUUGGGCGCUAGGUGUGGGGUCCCAUUCCCACGGAUUCCGUGCCGCAGCUAACGCAUUAAGCGCCCCGCCUGGGGGAGUACGGCCGCAAGGCUA
rnacentral:rRNA from 1 species